rnacentral:ncRNA from 2 species
AGUUAUAGCUAGGGGUGCCAGAUGUGGCUGAGAGGAAUUCAAUUCCAACCCUCGAACCUGAUGUGGUUAAUACCACCGUAGGAAAGCUUUAUACCAAACGA